AGAGUCAGGGGAGAUAACCAUGAUCAACGUAGGUGGUGGCCCCAGGGCGAGGCUUAUCCAUUGCACGCCGGGAUGUGCGAUCCCUGCAAUUUCCCCAAAAGUGGGAAACUCGACUGCAGAAUUUGUGGUAGUUGGGGGACAGUGUUCGUGCUCUCCGGCU
rnacentral:snRNA from 1 species